GAUGAACGCUGGCGGCGUGCCUAAUACAUGCAAGUCGAGCGAACAGAUGAGGAGCUUGCUCCUCUGACGUUAGCGGCGGACGGGUGAGUAACACGUGGAUAACCUACCUAUAAGACUGGAAUAACUUCGGGAAACCGGAGCUAAUACCGGAUAAUAUAUUGAACCGCAUGGUUCAAUAGUGAAAGACGGUUUUGCUGUCACUUAUAGAUGGAUCCGCGCCGCAUUAGCUAGUUGGUAAGGUAACGGCUUACCAAGGCAACGAUGCGUAGCCGACCUGAGAGGGUGAUCGGCCACACUGGAACUGAGACACGGUCCAGACUCCUACGGGAGGCAGCAGUAGGGAAUCUUCCGCAAUGGGCGAAAGCCUGACGGAGCAACGCCGCGUGAGUGAUGAAGGUCUUCGGAUCGUAAAACUCUGUUAUUAGGGAAGAACAAAUGUGUAAGUAACUAUGCACGUCUUGACGGUACCUAAUCAGAAAGCCACGGCUAACUACGUG
rnacentral:rRNA from 1 species